rnacentral:antisense_RNA from 1 species
UCCGAUUAAUUCACCAUCCUCAGCGAAUGGUUCAGCCAUAGCAUCAGCACUGCGCUUGUUCCAGCCAUCUAUCACCUUCUGAUAGAGCUCA